GUGCAUGUCCUAAACAUCAUAUCAAGUCCUAAUGAACCAACUUUAGGCAUGUAAUUCCUCAUGAUCUCAUAUCUUCCCUUGGGCAUAACAGGUAUGUCUUUAACUGCCCAUUUGGGCUGGAAGCCAAUUCCUAAAAAUCCAAUUCCCAUUUCCUCUGCAACAGCUUUCACCUGAUAAAGGUGUGAAUUAACUUCGGCACAAGUUUGAUGCAAAGUUUCAAGUGGCGCACCACUAAGCUCAAACUGACCACCAGGCUCUAGUGAUAUGCUCUGCUUUCCCUGUUUGAGUCCUAUAAUAUUGUCACCCUCCAUUAUUUUCUCCCAAUCAAAUCUCUCAGCAAUACCAUUAAGCAAGUCCGCAAUUUGUUCAUAUUUCAUAGGGCGUAAAGUUCCAAGUUCAAAUCCAAACUUCUCAUGUUCUGUACCUAUUCUCCAUUUUUCCUUAGGCUUGCAACCAGAGGCAAGGUAUCCUACGAGAUCCUCUUUAGUUAGUGGUUCUGCAGCGAUCACAGUAUCCUCUGUAGGAGGGCUUGCAGCAACAACCAACUGAUUCCCUCUUCUGAUUCUUAGACAUUCUCGNNNNNNCCCCAGGUGUCUUGAUAGAGUUACACAACAAUGAAGAGAAUCUAAAACAUUUUUCCUUCUGUU
rnacentral:misc_RNA from 1 species